rnacentral:rRNA from 1 species
GACGAACGCUGGCGGCGUGCUUAACACAUGCAAGUCGAACGGUAAGGCCCUUCGGGGUACACGAGUGGCGAACGGGUGAGUAACACGUGGGUGAUCUGCCCUGCACUUCGGGAUAAGCCUGGGAAACUGGGUCUAAUACCGGAUAGGACCACUGCCUGCAUGGGUGGUGGUGGAAAGCUUUUGCGGUGUGGGAUGGGCCCGCGGCCUAUCAGCUUGUUGGUGGGGUGAUGGCCUACCAAGGCGACGACGGGUAACCGGCCUGAGAGGGUGACCGGCCACACUGGGACUGAGAUACGGCCCAGACUCCUACGGGAGGCAGCAGUGGGGAAUAUUGCACAAUGGGCGCAAGCCUGAUGCAGCGACGCCGCGUGAGGGGUGACGGCCUUCGGGUUGUAAACCUCUUUCAGCACCGACGAAGCGCAAGUGACGGUAGGUGCAGAAGAAGGACCGGCCAACUACGUGCCAGCAGCCGCCGCAG